rnacentral:rRNA from 1 species
AUGCCCCCAGUACGGCGAGUGAAGCGGCAAAAGCUCAAAUUUGAAAUCCUGCGGGAAUUGUAAUUUGAAGGUUUCGUGGUCUGAGUCGGCCGCGCCCAAGUCCAUUGGAACAUGGCGCCUGGGAGGGUGAGAGCCCCGUCCGGCGCACGCCGACUCUUUGCACCGCGGCUCCGACGAGUCGAGUUGUUUGGGAAUGCAGCUCUAAGUGGGUGGUAAAUUCCAUCUAAAGCUAAAUAUUGGCGAGAGACCGAUAGCGAACAAGUACAGUGAUGGAAAGAUGAAAAGCACUUUGAAAAGAGAGUGAAACAGCACGUGAAAUUGUUGAAAGGGAAGGGCUUGCAAGCAGACACGGUUUUACCGGGCCAGCGUCGAAAAGGGGGGAGGAACAAGAACUCGAGAAUGUGGCGCGCACCUUCGGGUGCGCGUGUUAUAGCUCGUGUUGACGCCUCCAUCCCUUUUCGAGGCCUGCGAUU